rnacentral:rRNA from 1 species
AUUGAACGCUGGCGGCAGGCCUAACACAUGCAAGUCGAACGAGCGGCGGACGGGUGAGUAAUGUCUGGGAAACUGCCUGAUGGUGGGGGAUAACUACUGGAAACGGUAGCUAAUACCGCAACCCACCAGAGGUCCCCAGAUGGGAUUAGCUAGUUGGUGGGGUAACGGCUCACCAAGGCGACGAUCCCUAGCUGGUCUGAGAGGAUGACCAGCCACACUGGGACUGAGACACGGUCCAGACUCCUACGGGAGGCAGCAGUGGGGAAUAUUGCAAAAUGGGCGCAAGCCUGAUGCAGCCAUGCCGCUUGUAUGAAGAAGGCCUUCGGGUUGUAAAGUACUUUCAGCGGGGAGGCGUUACCCGCAGAAGAAGCACCGGCUAACUCCGUGCCAGCCGCCGCGGUAAUUC